rnacentral:lncRNA from 1 species
ACAUCGGAUAUCUUUUUUAAAGAUAGUUCUUGUUUUUUUUAUACAUUCAUCCUUACACAUAUAAAGGUACACAAGUUGAAGUCCAAUCUACUUGAAACUUAUUAUGAUCUGUCUAAUUUAUGCCUCAUUAGAAUUCUGACCCCAAUUUCACGGUCCUCUGAACAUUGAAAAAUUAUAGUGGGAGUGGGGCAUCAGCGUACUAUGGACACAUUCUUCAUCUAAAACUAAUAAUUUGCCGAAACUUGAAAGUUAUUUAUCACUAUAAUAUGUGCCAUAUGACUUUGUAAUCUGUUACUUUUCAUUAUUAUACUUUUAUUUACCACACUGACACCUAGACGAUAAAAGUGAUAAUACUUCAUGGUUUUCUUUUCAUUAAUAAAUUACUAUCUUUGAUUACGCAGCACAACGCACAUAUUAACAGUGUGAGAAUUUACAUAUAGUAAAACACUUGUUGCAUUUGGGACGCUUCUGCUCUUCGUAGCAAUAACUAAUUGUUAUUAAAUGGAAAUUUUACGUAACCUACCAUUAUUUGGUUACAUUUCUUAAUAACUAAAAGACAUAAAUGUAUUUUAUAAAAACGACUUAAAACACGAAUCAUACAGCAAAAGUAGAAUUAUUUCAAAUCCGAUUCAUUUUCCUCGAUUAUGUGGGUCCCAGGGGAAAUAUCCGUAUCUCGAAUUAAUUUUGUAUACUGAAGGUUUUAAUUGUAUCUUAAUCAUUACUUGUGAAAAGGCUGAGGGAGCGCAUGUAUUUAGAUGCAGAAAAUACUUCUUUUUAUCUUGUCAUCUUCAAGUUGAGCAAGAAAUUGUAAAACAGUGUUAUUAUGAUGCUUAUAUCCACGUAAUUUUUCUCUGUGUCGAGUAGCAGUCUUAUUAGAAAUCAAAACACAUCUACUUAUUCUAUAUUAUAAAGGACUUUUUUUGCUAAUUAUACGCUAUAGAUUUUUCUCAUUGAAUUUGUUUAAGACUAUAAUGUAACCUAUAGAUGCUGAUAUUUACAUCACGUGGUCAGUGGAGAAUAUUUGUACUACUGGAAACCAAAUCCAACCUUAUUUCUAAACUUUUGUUAAGACUGCAAAUAAUCUUUCUUAAAAAUGUGCAGAAUCCUUUAAAAAAAUAUAUUCACCAAUGAUUAUCAGAAAUAUACAAAAUAAUAAAUAUUUUUUAAAAGUUGGUGCUGGUGUUUUCUACAUGUGAAAUUCUUGUUUUUAUUACUGUAGUUUACUUUGCGAUCCACUUAUUUUCGCGGAUGUACGUGAACUUUUAUCGGUCAAUAGAUAAUAAAACUGACGAAAUAUAUGUCCAUAGGAGUGCAAACAAAUAGAUUGAAGACUAAAUUGUAGUAAUUAAAGAGAAUCCAUUUAGGACAGUAUUCUAAGAAUAAUAAUUAC